UUAUUCAUUUCAUACACAUGGGAGUUAAUAAGCUGUAAUUUAAAGGCAGGAACAGCCAUUAUCUAAAUAGUCACUUCUGGUUGAGGUGGUAAGAAAAAAUGAAAACAACACUCUCUUCUGGAUCUCAGGAUUCAUUGCAAUCCAUCAGACAUAAGGAUCAACCACAUCUCUCUGGAAUUCAGUGACUUCCAAGUCUAUUGUAAGGUACCAUUGACAAAGACUAAGCUAAGUGUGUGCCAGGAAAAACAGAAGAAAGCCUACUUAACACAGGAUAUGAGCGACCACACAAGACUCAUAUGAAUCUCAAAGCAAAUUAUGGUUUUAAUCAUACAGUUUACACCUAAUUCUAAAAUUUUAUGAAAUUUGAGAGAUAUGAUACGGAUAUUUAAUUAUCAAAUAAACUAUUUAUAGUCUAAACCAGCCACUACUUCAUAUUCAGCAAGUCUAUCUUAGAUACAGAAACACUCUUUCCUUAUCAGAAGUUUAAAGUCGAAGACCACGAUCUCUUCGAUUAAAUGGGUUUUUUUUUCCUUUUAUCAAAACGCAAUUACUGUCUUAAUUAAUUCCACACACUUCCUCUAUGUUGAGAGAUAUUGAUCCUUUUAAUUGUGAAUUUCCUUACCUUUGGUAAAUUCAGAUGCAUUCAUAAUGAUCCUGUAAUCCCUCGAUUCAUCGGAUGUCAAAUCCCAAACUAAAGAUGAUUCUGUUUAUGCAACAUUUUACUAUUUUCAAGGUCACAUUUUAAAUAUAUGUUUAAAAUUAUCCAUAUUUGU